CCGAGUGACAGUGUGAACCUGGCUGCUGCCGCUGCUGGCUGCCUGUAGGGGGAGCUGCAGCGGAAGCGCGCAGCUCCUCUCAGGCAGUUCAAGGGGCCAUGAGACAGAGCUACGUGAGGCAGUGUCUGCUGUUUUCGGCUCCCACUGUAGUGUAAGAUACUUUAUGCAAGUCAAGUUCUGGUAAGAAGACAGCCGGACGACUAGCUUGGAGGACUGAUGGUGAGGGCACAGGAUCCUGGGAGGGGAAACAGUCAGAAUACCGACGUCGGAAUCCUGACCCUAUUUUGAAUGCAGACACCGGCAUCAAGAAUGGGAGCCAGAAUCCCGACAGCCAGGAUGCGGAACAAAGACACACCGCUGCCCAAGAGGGAGAGUGUGAAAGUAACACCUAUCAGCGCGGACGUGUACUGCUACAUCUGAGAGGCGUCAUGAAAAUCACUUACAUCCAAAUGUAAAAGAGUCAUAAAAAGCCAGAAGAUUUCACAGCCCCGAGGUUAAAGCACAGGAAGGAAGAUUUCAGGACUAGCAGCGACAGAACAAGGGGUCAAGUUCUGUUGUCAGAGAUCAGGAUGCUCCAGGGAAUUUAAAGAAACACUUGGAGAUAACAGCAGCAGAUCUGUGAAACAAGCUCUCCGCUAGCAGCAAACAAUACAGAACAAGAAGAAGUCUAAAUGAAGGUUUGAGAGACAUAAAUGGAGACUUGUCUUUUGUCUGACAGCCGGAAUGCUGUGCGAGGGGGAGUUUCCAGUUGCCUGGAAGCCAAUGAACGUGCCUGGAGACCAUUUGCAGCUGGAGGCUGUGUGUGUGGGUCUUUAACAUGUACAAUAUGUCAAGGUGUACAUUAAAACAACCACAAGCUGUACAUCUCACCGAUGUCAUGCUGCAUCAUAGAAAGUGGAGUAGUGGAUCAGAGCAGAACACGUGUCCAAGUGGUAAACCAGUAUGGAAUGCCCCUUUGUAAUGAUGUACCAUAGCCGGAGUUAACUGUAGAAUAAUUGUAACUGUAAUCGAAGUGACAACUGUGUAGUGAUUGCAGCUUUUUCUGGUUUCUAUAUGACAAAAAUGAACCCUGACGGGCCGCAGUAUCCUGAAGGGUCCAUUUAGGCAGGUCUCUGGGCAUAUAAUUAUUGGACAGUUCAACAACAAAGCUCUUAGCCCCUGCGAGUAACCGUCCAGCUAUAGAAGAAAUGAUUGGCUCUGUGGUCAAUGGAGUCUAUUUAGAGAUGAUACAUAAAGGCAGAGGUGUCCAACGCAAAGGAUAUUAAUAAUACUCCAGUUGGUAUGCUGGAGAAGAUAAUAGAGCACACUGUCCCCUUGUUGGUAAAGGAAUUCCUUCCAGAGAUACCUGCUGUCCUGGCACAUGUCUACCGACGCGUUUUGCAGCUCAGGGCAACCUUAUCAAAGGUGAUUGUGUUUAGGAGAAAAAUGCAUUUGCACAGCAGAGCUAUUCCUUGCAAAAUCUCGAAGAGCCGGUAAUUUCUUCUAUAGCUGGACUGUGGCCCUCAGGGGCUAAGGGGGGCUUGUAUUAUUAUUAUUAUAUGUAUUAAGCAGUGAUAAAAG